rnacentral:rRNA from 1 species
GAAAAAUGACUCUCGGCAACGGAUAUCUCGGCUCUUGCAUCGAUGAAGAACGUAGCGAAAUGCGAUACUUGGUGUGAAUUGCAGAAUCCCGUGAACCAUCGAGUCUUUGAACGCAAGUUGCGCCCGAAAGCCAUUCAUUUGGCUGAGGGCACGCCUGCUUGGGUGUCGUG